UGAAUUGAAGUAAAAUUGAUUAAUUCAAUUGACUUAAGUUUCUCCUCUUAAUCUAAUUAUUAAUUUGAAUAAUUUACUAAAUUGUUAAUUGCUUUAUCUCUCUUUCUCCCUGUUUGUUUAAUUAGUAGCCUGAGGUGAAGCAGGAUUAGGUUACUUGAUUUAUGUUUAUUUAUGUCAUUACAACAAAUUGUUUGUUAUCUUUUAUUACAAUCACUUGGAUAAUUAAUUGUAAUCAUGUUUUCUGGUUAUUUGAGUCUCACCUUUAUUUUUACUUUAAUUUAAGUACCUCAUCUUAAUUUGAUAAUUAUCAUGAGAAAAAUUAAUCUACUGAUGAUUUCGUUGAUAAGGUGAAACUGAAAUAUGGAGGAGGCGGAGGAGAUAAAUACCCGAGGAUAUCAACAGGAGAAGAAGAAGAAGAAGAAGAAGAAAAAUGAGAAAUCUAAAAGAAACAAAAAGGAGAUGAACAGAGAUUUGAAAAGGAGACACAAAAGAGAAAAGUGAUUUAUGAACUAACUAUAUAAAUGUGACGUUAAUUACAGUUGAUUACCGAAAGAAUACAAUUUAAAAGACUCACUGGAGAGAAGAAGACAAAAGGAUAGAGAAAUAUAAGUGAAAGAGAAAUUAACUAAACCAAGAUGGUGGAUAAUAACAAUCGUUUACCCUUCUCAUCAUUAAGUGAGGAAAAAAACAAAAGAGGAAAAAGGUUAUCAAAACAAAACAUAAUUAAUGAGUAAAAAUUUGAAAUGUUGAAUGGAAAUUUGUCAACAAAAUCAUCAUCAUCAUCAUGGUAAAUCAUUCAACUAAUCAACAUCCAACAAUUAAGGAGGAAACCAUUGGUACAAAAAGAGAGAUUGACAAAUUACUUUGGAAAAGUUAAUCCUUAUAAAUGAGAGCUUAAAGUGACCCCCCAAUGGAACCAAAUCAAAAUGGAAGGUGAUAAUUGUGAAGAUAAUUAUGAGCAAGGUGCAAAUGAAGAUGAACGACAAUUUAAAUUGAAAGAAAAUGGCGACAAACAAGUAGAAGGCAAAAAGCAAAUAGGACUUGAUGACUUAAGGAAGAGAGAGGAAAAAAAGAAGCAAUAAAAAGACGGAAAUAGAAAAUGAAUAGAUGAAGAAGCGACAACAACAAAUGGUGUUUACAUUCAAUUGUACAUAUUCAAUUGAUCACGCUAAUAUUACCUUUGGUUCCAUGUACAAGGAAUACUUGAGAGACACUCACACACACACACCAGAGAUUCACUUGGCUUGAUUUCAUGAUAAAUGUUCAUUUUAAUCAUUCAUUGAAACAAGAGACAACAUAACAACAUUAAUUUAACACUUACAAUUAUAAUCUAUUCCCAUUGCAAAAUACAAGAAACUAUUAACUUGUUUAAAUGUAAAUUGUAAAUACAUUUAAACACUUAUAGAGUCUCUUUUUUUUCAACUUUGCAAUUGGUUAAUUACGACAAUUUACAUUCAAUUAACUAAUCUAUCUAACGUAAUUAAUAUCAACUUAAUCAUUAAUUAUCAUUGACAGCAUA